rnacentral:rRNA from 1 species
UACGUAGGGGGCUAGCGUUGUCCGGAUUUAUUGGGCGUAAAGAGCGUGUAGGCGGCCAGGUAGGUCCGGUGUGAAAACUCGAGGCUUAACCUCGAGAUGUCAUCGGAAACCAUCUGGCUAGAGUCCGGAAGAGGAAAGUGGAAUUCCUGGUGUAGCGGUGAAAUGCGCAGAUAUCAGGAAGAACACCUAUGGCGAAGGCAGCUCGCUGGGACGGUACUGACGCUGAGACGCGAAAGCGUGGGGAGCAAACAGG